UUGCUUGGAAUUUGCAGAUGUGAAGUGAGGAUGGGAAGUGACUACCGUGAUAUUUGAGGGUGUAGGAUCGUGUGAGUUAAUUGAGAUUAAUUCUCAAUUAAUUGGUGAUUUAAGGGUAACGGCUACGGAGUGGGAUGGAUGCUGAAGCCGGAGCAGAUUUUUGGUUGGAACUACCGUGAAGAAGAAAAGAAUUGGGCUCAAUAGAUCUCCCACGAUUUUAUUUAAUUUGAUUGGACUCAUUUAGUUGGGAGCCCAACUUGUAGUAUAUUUUAUUUAUUUGAUUUUGGACUUCCAUUUUUUCCAUGGCCCAAAGCUUUUUGUAAAAUAAACAUUGGACUUUAUUUAAUUGAGAAGCUCAAAUAUUUACUUCA